AAGAAGACCAAACCCUAACUUCACAAAUUCUCCAAAAUCAGAAGGAAAUUUAGAGUUCUAGUGGAUGCAUGAACCCUAAUUCGAGUAAUCUAAGCUUGUUCAACCCUUGGCGUUAAGGAAGAAAGUUCGAGUCAAGUGAAGCAACAAGAGAAUCAAGACCGAGGUAAAUCUCAUGUCUAGCUAUCAAGCUUUGCCCGGUUCGAACACGCCUCAAGCCCGUCAAGCGUUCCGCAUUUUGUAAAAGUCAAUGUUUAAUACUUUGUCACUUAUGUCUAUGUCUAGUAGUUAAACCUAGU